UACGGAGGAUGCGAGCGUUAUCCGGAUUUAUUGGGCUUAAAGGGUGCGUAGGCGGGAUGCCAAGUCAGCGGUAAAAAUGCGGUGCUCAACGCCGUCGAGCCGUUGAAACUGGCGUUCUUGAGUGGGCGAGAAGUAUGCGGAAUGCGUGGUGUAGCGGUGAAAUGCAUAGAUAUCACGCAGAACUCCGAUUGCGAAGGCAGCAUACCGGCGCCCUACUGACGCUGAGGCACGAAAGCGUGGGUAUCGAACAGG
rnacentral:rRNA from 1 species